GGACAUGCAUGGAAAAUGUAGUUUGCCAAACUGUUAAUGAAAACUUUCACUGCGUUCAGCGCUUUUACGCCUAAACGGUGGUGCAACAUUCGAACGAACUUUUUCUUUAAUUAAUUCAUUUGUUUAUAACGAAAAACAAAUACAGAUGCGCCAGCAAUUGAUGCUGAUGGUUUUACGACAGGUAUAUGGUGAACAUUGGCGAGACGAAGAGCUAUAGUCGCAAAUUGAAUGCGCCGAGCAACUAUUUGAGCACUACACUUUUCAAUGAUUACUCAAUCAGGCGUAUUAACAUGAAAUGCAGUCCGAAAUUGAAAAAAUGCCUUUUUAGGAAAAUUGCGCAGCUUUUUAAGAAAGACUCGCUAAUUUACUCAUCCAAUAAUGAAACGUCAACUCAAAGCAAUACCUAGAUGAAAUACAUAUGUAUAUGUUAAUAAUAAUUAAUGCAAAACUA